CUACGGGGUGCUCCAGUGAGGAAUAUUGCACAAUGGGGGAAACCCUGAUGCAGCAACGCCGCGUGGAGGAUGACGCAUUUCGGUGUGUAAACUCCUUUUAUAUGUCAAGAAAAUGACGGUAGCAUAUGAAUAAGCACCGGCUAACUCCGUGCCAGCAGCCGCGGUAAUACGGAGGGUGCAAGCGUUAUUCGGAAUCACUGGGCGUAAAGGACGCGUAGGCGGGUUUUUAAGUCAGGUGUGAAAUCCUACAGCUUAACUGUAGAACUGCACUUGAAACUACUGACCUAGAGUAUGGGAGGGGGAGAUGGAAUUAGUGGUGUAGGGGUAAAAUCCGUAGAUAUCACUAGGAAUACCUAAAGCGAAGGCGAUCUCCUGGAACAUUACUGACGCUAAGGCGUGAAAGCGUGGGGAGCAAACAGGAUUAGAUACCCCGGUAGUC
rnacentral:rRNA from 1 species